AGGGUUUGAUCCUGGCUCAGAAUGAACGUUGGCGGCGUGGAUUAGGCAUGCAAGUCGUGCGACAGGCCCGCAAGGGCGCUGAGCGGCGAAAGGGAGAGUAACGCGUAGGUUAUCUACCCUCAGGACCGGAAUAGCUACGGGAAACUGUAGGUAAUACCGGAUGAUGUCUCCGGACUAAAGGUGUGAUUCCGCCUGUGGAGGAGCCUGCGUCCUAUUAGCUAGUUGGUGGGGUAACGGCCUACCAAGGCUGAGAUGGGUACGGGGUAUGAGAGUAUGCCCCCGCUCACUGGGACUGAGACACUGCCCAGACACCUACGGGUGGCUGCAGUCGAGGAUCUUCGGCAAUGGGCGCAAGCCUGACCGAGCGACGCCGCGUGUGGGAUGAAGGCCUUCGGGUUGUAAACCACUGUCAGUGGGGAGGAAAUACUAUAGGGUUCUCUCUAUAGUUUGACCUAUCCGCAGAGGAAGUACGGGCUAAGUUCGUGCCAGCAGCCGGGUAAGACGAACCGUACAAACGUUAUUCGGAAUCACUGGGCUUAAAGGGUGCGUAGGCUGUCCUGUAAGUUGGGUGUGAAAGCCCUCGGCUCAACCGAGGAAUUGCGCUCAAUACUGCAGGACUUGAGGAAGACAGAGGUGAGCGGAACUUAGGGUGGAGCGGUGAAAUGCGUUGAUAUCCUAAGGAACACCUGGGGCGAAAGCGGCUCACUGGGUCUUCUCUGACGCUGAGGCACGAAAGCUAGGGUAGCGAACGGGAUUAGAUACCCCGGUAGUCCUAGCCGUAAACGAUGAGCACUAGAUCGAAGGGUCCUCCAUAGCCUUUUGGUCGUAGCGAAAGUGUUAAGUGCUCCGCCUGGGGAGUAUGGUCGCAAGGCUGAAACUCAAAAGAAUUGACGGGGGCUCACACAAGCGGUGGAGGAUGUGGCUUAAUUCGAGGCUACGCGAAGAACCUUAUCCUAGUCUUGACAUGCACGGAUUAACUCCCUGAAAGGGGAGCCACGCCCGCAAGGGUGGAACGUGCACAGGUGCUGCAUGGCUGUCGUCAGCUCGUGUCGUGAGAUGUCGGGUUAAGUCCCUUAACGAGCGAAACCCUUGUCGUUAGUUGCCAGCGAGUCAUGUCGGGGACUCUAGCGAGACUGCCGGUGUUAAACCGGAGGAAGGCGGGGAUGACGUCAAGUCCUCAUGGCCUUUAUGACUAGGGCUGCACACGUCCUACAAUGGCGCGUACAAAGGGAAGCAAACCUGCGAGGGCAAGCAAAUCCCAAAAAGCGCGCCUCAGUUCGGAUUGCAGGCUGCAACCCGCCUGCAUGAAGCUGGAAUCGCUAGUAAUCGCGGGUCAGCAUACCGCGGUGAAUGUGUCCCUGAGCCUUGUACACACCGCCCGUCAAGCCACGAAGGUGGGGGGCAUCCGAAGUCGCCGUGGUAACCCGCAAGGGAACUAAGCGCCGAAGAUGAACUCCGCGAUUGGGACUAAGUCGUAACAAGGUA
rnacentral:rRNA from 1 species